rnacentral:pre_miRNA from 1 species
UCUGCCUGGCCCACUGGCCGGGAAUGUGCACCUAGAUUGUUUUGGGCUCGAGUGGGUGUGUCAGAGG